UACGGAGGGUGCAAGCGUUAAUCGGAAUUACUGGGCGUAAAGCGCACGUAGGUGGUUUGUUAAGUCAGCUGUGAAAUCCCCGGGCUCAACCUGGGCACUGCAGUUGGAACUGGCAAGCUAGAGUAGGGUAGAGGGGUGUGGAAUUCCAGGUGUAGCGGUGAAAUGCGUAGAUAUCUGGAGGAACAUCAGUGGCGAAGGCGACACCCUGGACUCAUACUGACACUGAGGUGCGAAAGCGUGGGGAGCAAACAGG
rnacentral:rRNA from 1 species